rnacentral:rRNA from 1 species
UACGUAGGGUGCAAGCGUUAAUCGGAAUUACUGGGCGUAAAGCGUGCGCAGGCGGUUAUGUAAGACAGAUGUGAAAUCCCCGGGCUCAACCUGGGAACUGCAUUUGUGACUGCAUAGCUAGAGUACGGUAGAGGGGGAUGGAAUUCCGCGUGUAGCAGUGAAAUGCGUAGAUAUGCGGAGGAACACCGAUGGCGAAGGCAAUCCCCUGGACCUGUACUGACGUUCAUGCACGAAAGCGUGGGGAGCAAACAGG